rnacentral:rRNA from 1 species
UAUGGGGGGGGCAAGCGUUGUUCGGAAUUACUGGGCGUAAAGGGCUCGUAGGUGGCCAACUAAGUCAUACGUGAAAUCCCUCGGCUUAACCGGGGAACUGCGUCUGAUACUGGAUGGCUUGAGUUUGGGAGAGGGAUGCGGAAUUCCAGGUGUAGCGGUGAAAUGCGUAGAUAUCUGGAGGAACACCGGUGGCGAAGGCGGCAUCCUGGACCAACACUGACGCUGAUGAGCGAAAGCCAGGGGAGCAAACGGG